rnacentral:rRNA from 1 species
CCCUUAGAUGUUCUGGGCCGCACGCGCGCUACACUGAUGCAUUCAACGAGUCUAAAACCUGCUCUGAUAGGGGUGGGUAAUCUUUUGAAUGUGCAUCGUGAUUGGGAUAGAUGAUUGCAAUUUUUCAUCUUCAACGAGGAAUGCCUAGUAAACGCAAGUCAUCAGCUUGCAUUGAUUACGUCCCUGCCCUUUGUACACACCGCCCGUCGCUCAUACCGAUUGAAUGAUCCGAUGAAUAUCAUGGAUUGAGGAUGCAAGCAGGUUCGCCUGUCUUCAUCUUCGAGAAGUGAAGUAAAUCUUAUCAUUUAGAGGAAGGAGAAGUCGUAACA